AACGCGAAGAACCUUACCUGGGUUUGACAUCCCAUGAAAAGCGCAGAGAUGCGUAAUAGUCGCAAGACACAUGGAGACAGGUGCUGCAUGGCUGUCGUCAGCUCGUGUCGUGAGAUGUUGGGUUAAGUCCCGCAACGAGCGCAACCCUUUCCCUUAUUUGCCAGCAUUAAGUUGGGCACUCUAGGGGUACUGCCGAUGAUAAAUCGGAGGAAGGUGGGGACGAGGUCAAGUCAUCAUGGCCCUUAUGUCCAGGGCAACACACGUACUACAAUGGCCAAGACAAAGCGAAGCGAGACCGUAAGGUUUAGCCAAUCGCAAAAACAUGGUCUCAGUUCGGAUUGUGGUCUGCAACUCGACCACAUGAAGUUGGAAUCUCUAGUAAUCGCAGAUCAGCAGGCUGCGGUGAAUACGUUCCCGGGCCUUGUACACACCGCGAGC
rnacentral:rRNA from 1 species